rnacentral:lncRNA from 1 species
CACAUAUCCGCCUGUCGUACGGUGACAACUUACUUCUUGAUUCGUUUCCUUUUAUGGUCUGGCGGUAUUUAUCCCUCAACCUGUAUUUCCGUUUCUUUCAUUCUUGCUUGUUUCCGCGCCACCUUUUCUCUAGAGCUGCUCGCCUUUUUCUGCAGCUCCACUCCGGGUGCCUCUGCCUUUCCCUUUUUCUUGCGUAGCGCUGCCUCGGAGACCUCUUCCAUUUUAUUCGAAGGAGCAAACGGCAACCACUGUAGUGCACAGAGGGCGUACUGCUGACAUAGAAUGGCAAAAACAGAUCUGCUGACCAACAGGAAACUGUAUUCAGUGUUUGGGAGGUCGAUAGCCUUUAGGUACAUGUAGUCAUUGAGGCCUCCCCUUUUUACUCUUAAAUAUUACUUUACCCCGAAGAUCGUUGUAUGCCCCGGAGGAAGAAACGUGGGAUAAGAAAUUGUCCGAGUUUUUAUAUUCAAGUGUGUUGCUCGUCUGCGUUGGUGCAGAAAUCGUGAAUUUGGUUGGUUUGAGUUUCCUGCCGUCCGCCGAUCUGCUUCCGUGUAAGUGAAGGAGGCGUACUCACAUGACAGACAGACGACACGGUAGAAAGGAAAAGAAAGAAGAAGUGCGGAAAUGUAAUUAGUGAAAAAACUCUUUGUCCGUUGAGAAACAAUUUCCCUUCUCCCUCCACACGAGAUAAAACGUCGUCCUUCACUGGAUCAAGAGCGGAUUGAGUACGCU